rnacentral:rRNA from 1 species
GAUGAACGCUGGCGGCGUGCCUAAUACAUGCAAGUCGAGCGAACGGACGAGAAGCUUGCUUCUCUGAUGUUAGCGGCGGACGGGUGAGUAACACGUGGAUAACCUACCUAUAAGUCUGGGAUAACUUCGGGAAACCGGAGCUAAUACCGGAUAAUAUUUUGAACCGCAUGGUUCAAAAGUGAAAGACGGUCUUGCUGUCACUUAUAGAUGGUUCCGCGCUGCAUUAGCUAGUUGGUAAGGUAACGGCUUACCAAGGCAACGAUGCAUAGCCGACCUGAGAGGGUGAUCGGCCACACUGGAAGUGGAACACGGACCAGAGUCCUAAGGGAGGCAGCAGUAGAGAAUCUGCCGCAAUGGAGGAAAGCAUGACGGAGCAACGCCGCGUGAGUGAUGAAGGUCUUCGGAUCGUAAAACUCUGUUAUGAGGGAAGAACAUAUGUGUAAGUAAAUGUGCAGAUCGUGACGGUACCUAAUCAAAAAGCCACGGCUAACUACGUG